CUCCCUAUCGCGCCGAGCUCCAUCCAAUAGGGCGGGGAAUCCGUACCUGGAUGGAGGCGGGGGACCCACCGGUCCACCGUGAUCGGACUGGAGUCGCAUGCGGCUCCUUGGGGUGAAGCCAGUGUCGUCGGCAGGACGACGCCGGCCGGGUAGCCUCUCCAACCCGAACCCGACAGCUGACCUCGCAGGCGCGAACGAGAGAGGAA
rnacentral:sRNA from 2 species